UACAGAGGGUGGGAGCGUUAAUCGGAAUUACUGGGCGUAAAGCGUGCGCAGGCGGUUGUGUAAGACAGAUGAGAAAUCCCCGGGCUUAACCCGGGAACUGCGUUUGUGACUGCACGGCUAGAGUACGGCAGAGGGGGGUGGAAUUCCUGGUGUAGCAGUGAAAUGCGUAGAGAUCAGGAGGAACAUCGAUGGCGAAGGCAGCCCCCUGGGCCUGUACUGACGCUCAUGCACGAAAGCGUGGGGAGCAAACAGG
rnacentral:rRNA from 1 species